rnacentral:rRNA from 1 species
AUGGGACCGAGGCAAGCCGAUGCGUGCGAUCGAUCGACCGGAGGAGCGGAGCAGCCCUCGCGUGCCGGACGUCGCAAUGCGUGCGAUCCGACCUUCGCCGUGGCCUGCAGUGCGUUCAGGUGGUGGGGGGCAUGGAAUCCCAGGCGCCGACACGAGGCUGUGGCGCGAGCAUUGAAUCAUGCGCUGUCGAUUCGAGUUUCAUUUGUUGGUGAUUCCAUAAUUAAAUUGCAGUUUCUACACGCCAUUACUGGUAAUGGUUUUCUAGCUCGUUGGAGUUUGCUUGCGGUGGGCUUGCUCUUCGCUGGUUCUGCUUGA